CUUUGCUCAAACUUGUUUUUAUCUAUUUUGAUAUAUUAUUUACUCCGGUUUAACUACAAUUAUUUCAAAAAUGUUACUCAUAAAAUCAAUUUUAUGCUUAAAUAUAAAAUCUAUUUUUACUAAUCUUAUUUAGCUCCUUUUUUGUAACCACAACUUCUUCUUUUUUUUUCCAAACAGCUUUUCCAGCUCAGGUGUUUCAACUUGUGCUGAAACCUCGUCAGUUGAUUGGUCACUCCAGUCACCUGUCACCUCUGCUGAGACUCACUCUGAAGCUGAGCUGCAGACUGAGACGGAGGCUGACAGACAAGACUCCAGCAGAGUUCACGCAGCCCAGGUGUCACGGUCAUGUGACCAGAUAACGACAGACGUCAGACUUGGGUGCACCUCCUCACUCAUCAGAAGAGAAUUCACAAACAAGCUUAUUGACCAGGGACCCACGGGAAUAGAGACCAGUGAGACGAGCUGCUAAUCCUCUGGAUGAAGGAUGACCUCAUCACUACCUCAGUCAAUCAUGGUCAACAACAAAGCAUUGUUCCAGAGCCAGACUCCACGGUCCGGCUGCAGUGACACUGAUGAACCCUGUCAUUCCUGGGCUGCGGCUCUUUGCGCCGACCUUGGCUAAAUGCCUCCACUUUGCCUCGUUUUCCCAAUUAACUUAGCGAAUAAGAAGAAAGCGGCAGUGGCAGCCUGGCAUCGCUGGGAAUGGAAAGAAGACGGGGAAGUGGAGAGGACAGACAUGUGGACCGGGGUGGGGACCGUGGUGGCACGAGGAACAAAGACACGUGGUGUAUGUCUGUGAAAGAGGAGGCGAAAUGUUUUGACAAGAGGGGAAAAAAAAAAUGUUUUUACAGAGAAAUCCCAUUGGUCUCCACCUGCUGGUUCAAGACACAAUGCAAAAUUUAUAAAAUCAAGACUCUACGACAAAGGUCAAAGGUCAGGUCAGCUAAAAGUUAGCAAAAAAAAAUACAUCUAGUGAAAGGACAACCAAAGAAUAUUGAAACAUUAAAUUAUUAAUAACCUUAGGUUAUACCCAGGUAAUUGAGUUUACCUAAAAGUAGAAAAAAUAUAUGGCUAGAACUAGCUAAGGGCUAGUAUAGCUAAGAAAGUAUAGAAACAACAAAGAAAAUAGCUUAACAUAAAAAAGUUACUAAAGGUUAGCCAAGCAGCCGAAACAUUAACAAAUUUGUAAGAUAUCCAAAAUGAUACCAAAAUACUGAAAGUCCCGAAUAAUUGCUGUGUAGCUGAAGCGAUACUUAAGAGGGUUAGCCAAGAGAUAGCUAAAUGUCAGUUGAAAAUGUAGCUAAAUAUAGGAGCCGGGAUCGUUAAAAGCUUUACAAGAAUCAGUCAACAAUAACACGAGUGCACAGGUAGCUAAAAGUUAGCUGAGAACGAGGAGCGCCGAGGCAGGCUGGUGGAGGAGCUCAGGGACUACAGUAAAGGAGGAGGUCUCUGGGGGAGAACCAGAACCAGGUGUGAGGGGAUUUGAGGAGGACAGCGGGGAGACGGAUGGUCCUGAAGAAGCAGCGGAGAGAGAAAAAUCACCAGGAGGGGUCGGAUCCUGAGAGUCCAGCCGUGAUGGUCUUAGCAUCUGCCAGAGUGCAUUAAUCAACGGGAGGAGAGGAAGUAAUCCCACGUCCAGCAGGGUGUGCUGGAAUGUGUGUUCCCGCUGCAUCCACGCCGUGUCCUUAUGGGGACAUUUUGCAGGUCCCCACCGCAGACAAAAACCAAAGCAGUGUGUGUGUGUGUGUGUCUGAGGAGCAUGGUCGCACGGACGACCAUCGUCAGGAGAGAGUCGAGAUCCGACGUCCCUCUGUCGGCUGAUUUACUCCUGGAGGUGUCCCGCAAACAUGGCACCAGAAACAAACACGACUUUGGUCAUACGGAAGCCAUUUCCUUCCCCUCUCUCUCUCUCUCUCUCUCUCUCUCUCUGUCAGCGCUUCUUCAGACGCUGCAUGUUUACACGACGAGGUCUGCGGAUUUUUAAAACCAUCGUCUCGUUUCACCGGACGCACGUGCGCUGGCCAAGUGUAAAUAUGAAGUUUUUUGAGGUUUCAAGGAAGUGUGUGUGUGUGUGUGUGUGUGUGUGUGUGCGUUCAUGUAAACAGGCCUUGAAACGUUGUUGGAACCAAGGUUAUAUCAACAGUAGUAACUUCUAACUUUCUGUUAUUUGCAGUAGAAACACACAUUUAUGGCCAACGCCGACGACUUCAUCGCGGACAGAAGCUAUCAUUGUGGUGCGGCGGCAGCCGGAGCGGGUGGUAUUGACACAGCGGCGCUGCUAAAACAGGAACUGCGCCUUUUUUUUUUUUUUUUUUUUUUUUUAA